UAACAGACGCCACACGGCUUCGUUGCUGC
rnacentral:sRNA from 1 species